GACGAACGCUGGCGGCAUGCCUAACACAUGCAAGUCGAACGGAGUUUAACUGACAGAAGCCUUCGGGCAGAAGACGAUUAAACUUAGUGGCGGACGGGUGAGUAACGCGUGGAUAACCUGCCUUAUAGAGGGGGACAACAGUUGGAAACGACUGCUAAUACCGCAUAAGGUCUCGAGACCGCAUGAUCUUGAGAAGAAAGAUGGCCUCUGAAAAUGCUAUCGCUAUAAGAUGGAUCCGCGUCUGAUUAGCUAGUUGGUGAGGUAACGGCUCACCAAGGCAACGAUCAGUAGCCGGCCUGAGAGGGUGAACGGCCACAUUGGGACUGAGACACGGGCCCAAACGUCCUACGGGAGGCAGCAGUGGGGAAUCUUCCGCAAUGGGCGAAAGCCUGACGGAGCAAUGCCGCGUGAAUGAAGAAGGCCUUCGGGUCGUAAAA
rnacentral:rRNA from 1 species